rnacentral:rRNA from 1 species
GGACUACUAGGGUUUCUAAUCCUGUUCGCUCCCCACGCUUUCGCUCCUCAGCGUCAGUAUCGGCCCAGAGACCCGCCUUCGCCACCGGUGUUCCUCCUGAUAUCUGCGCAUUUCACCGCUACACCAGGAAUUCCAGUCUCCCCUACCGAACUCGAGCCUGCCCGUAUCGACCGCAGGCUUAGGGUUGAGCCCCAAGUUUUCACGAUCGACGCGACAAGCCGCCUACGAGCUCUUUACGCCCAAUAAAUCCGGACAACGCUCGCGCCCUACGUCUUACCGCGGCGGCUGGCAC